CGUCUGACUACCAAAUCAUGCCAACAACUACAAUCACCCAAACUUAAAAGACCUGGCGGUGCUUGAAAUCUACCUAGAGGAGCCUGUUUUAUAAUCGAUAAUCCACGUUAAACCUUACCUUCUAUUGCAACCCAACCAGCCUAUAUACCGCCAUCUUCAGCAAACACACCAUCUUCAGCAAACAGACAUAAGCA
rnacentral:rRNA from 1 species